GAUGAACGCUGGCGGCGUGCCUAAUACAUGCAAGUCGAGCGAACAGACGAGGAGCUUGCUCCUCUGACGUUAGAGGCGGACGGGUGAGUAACACGUGGAUAACCUACCUAUAAAAAUGGGAUAACUUCGGGAAACCGGAGCUAAUACCGGAUAAUAUAUUGAACCGCAUGGUUCAAUAGUGAAAGACGGUUUUGCUGUCACUUAUAGAUGGAUCCGCGCCGCAUUAGCUAGUUGGUAAGGUAAAGGCUUACCAAGGCAACGAUGCGUAGCCGACCUGAGAGGGUGACCGGCCACACUGGAACUGAGACACGGUCCAGACUCCUACGGGAGGCAGCAGUAGGGAAUCUUCCGCAAUGGGCGAAAGCCUGACGGAGCAACGCCGCGUGAGUGAUGAAGGUCUUCGGAUCGUAAAACUCUGUUAUUAGGGAAGAACAAAUGUGUAAGUAACUAUGCACGUCUUGACGGUACCUAAUCAGAAAGCCACGGCUAACUACGUG
rnacentral:rRNA from 1 species